GGGUCGAACUUGAGUGCUUCUGCCUGCCUGCUGCUCGCCUAACAUGAGUGGCUUCGCGCUGUUAGCGUGCGCAGGAACUGGAGUGGAACGGCAACAGUGCGCAACAACUGCUGUCUUACAGCGACCCAACAGCCACUCAACAGCGCCUAGCUCUACAGUUGUCUCGCCUCUCUGUUAGCCGAGCUGUUGGCGCGGAACCGUUGCAUUUAAAUAUGGAAGUGCACACGUCACUCUCUCAGGAUCUUAGAAAAUAUCCCAUUCCACCAAUAUAAGUUCCAAUCGAACUGAACUUAGCGAUAUCUGUAACACCCCUAUAAGUCCAAUUGGUGUCUAAAGUUAUAGGUCACUUUCAGGUUAUCCAUUACAAAAGGCCAUUCAUUCAAUCAAAGUGCUUUUCCAAAAAGAGCAGAACCACAAGGGGGCGUGGCAGCCCCACCCCAUCAAUCCUUGCAACACCGCCGCUCGGAGCAAUUAACAGGAUUCCAAUGUGUCUGGCCGUCUGCAGAGUGCAGACUGUGACGGGAAAUUUCAAAAAUUUCAAUUCACAAAAAUUCACAGGAAUGCGCCUGGCUCACAGGCACACAUGUGACUGUGCCUGUGCCUGUGCCCUUCUAGCGUCUGGUGUCCACUCGGUCGAGUCGAUUCAAAAGUCUGCCAUCCACGUAUGUACAUUUCCCGCUUUCCCACUUUCCCACCUGCUAUCUGGGCUUCAGUCCGUGUGUCCGGCAGCAGGUGCAAGAGCUGCAGCAAUCAAAGAGUCAUCCAGUCAAGGCAAAGAGGACCACUUUAAAGAUUUCCACCAACGGCAAUGGGUUCGAGUGACAGGCACAUGCGGGACAAUCGAAAACAACAGUAUGAAACCAAUAUAAUGAGUACACUGCCGCUUGGCAAUACUGGCUGUCAAUCGCAGUGGCCAACACUGGUACUUCCAAAAUCAUUUCCAACACUCAAAGUUACGCAAAGAUCUACAAAUAAACCCAUCUACAUAGGGCCAAUAUUUCAGUGCGGGGUAUUUAAAGACUGCAUACGGGUGUCGGUGCCCAUUAAGUUGACUCCUGGCGAUGGCCAUUGGGAUGGAAUUGGGAUUGGGACUCUUCACCCGUUUUGGGGAAGCUCGGGAUGCAGGAAACGCAGUCGCAGUUGAUGGCCAUCAAGUGGACCAUGGCAAAAGUGAUUACACGUGCUCAUAAACAACAAAGCAACCCCCUGGGCUGCCGAAGUCGGGCCAGGCAAACAGGAGACAAAACAUGGCAGCAGGACAUCAGGACAUCAGGACAUCAGGGCAUGAGGACAUCGCAGGCAGGAUAGGAUGCCCGCUUGAGAUGUGAGAUGGAGCCUUGCCAGUUUUUGUCAUCAUCAUCGUGAUCAGCUGUGAUUGGGUGUGUACGACGAGCGCUGGUUAAUUUAUGGCCUGGACUUCGGUUUUAAUUUGUUCGGCAAAGCUUUUGCUCUUGCUUUUUCUUGCACUGCAGAAAAUUCCGAGACUUGCCUUAUGCGAAUGUACACUGCGCAUUCCGAGCUUUGAUUUUGUUUUUCGCAGUGCACAGGAUGGCUGCCGGUGAUGGUCCCAGGUUCAACUAGCAUUGCGGAGCGAAAAGCGAAAAGCAGGAGAAAAUGCUGAGGACACGACAGCGACAAAGUCAAUAAAUUCUGUGCCACUGGAUUGGCCCCCGAAGGAGGUGAACGAGGGAACUGGGAUCCCGGCCAAAGAACUGGGCUGGGCUAAGCUGUACUUACUUAGCCGGGAUGCCGAGAUGCCGAGAUGCCGGGAUGUCGGGACAUCUGCAGCUGCACCUGGCAACACGGCUUUCCCCAGUCUUGUCCCAGGUGUCUAUUUUAGCUGCUUUUAACUUCCUUAUGGUCUUGGCAACGUCUUGCCGGCUUUUACGGCUAAUAGCAGCAGCGCCGGAGAUGAGAUGGAUGCAAGGACACGGACCCGUUGUAGCUCGUGUGUAGUACACUGAUUUCAGCAAUUAGAUCUUGGCACUAGCAUCAGCACCAGGUCCACGAGGGUUACGAGCUAGUUGCCAACAUUAUGAGCCAACUCAGCAUAAUCCCCAGGGGCACUCCACAAAGGAGCGGAGGAGCAGGACUAAAUGCGAUCACGCAAAGCGUAUAAACAGGAGCAGAUGGGCCAGAAGACCGCACACACGCAUAUACACUCAUAUGUACAUAUAAGCGUAAAGGACGUGCAAAGUGAUAAUCAUGGAAUGAAACGCAGGACGCCCACAUGGCCAACACGAUGCCAUCAACACCCUAAGGUGGUUCAUAUUUUUCGAUUCGGAACAAAACCGACAACUGAAGUACGCAUUUGCACACCUUCACAAGUAAUUGUGCCUUUCUUGAGAUCCCCGUGACAGCCUGCAGCAUCGAUUUUAAACAAUUUUCAGAGGGGCCACAUUGGCAUUGUAACAAGUCACCUCUCUCAUCACUUUUGGUUCAUACCCGGCCGUUUGCCCUAACCCUGCGUAUGACAGAUUGGGCCCAGCACAUGGGGCGCCCAAAGGACCGUCCCUGCUGCUCCUCCCACGCCCCAACUACCCAUUCACAGCCGUAUCCGCAUCCACAUCCCCAUCCGGAGCCGUGUCUCCUGCCGUGUAACCAAUGCGCCGUACGUGUGCCCAGCACUCAUUACAAAUGAAAGCCGAGAGCGGAGGUGCCCAGGUGUUGAAACCGGAGCCUUGGGGAGCUGCUGGGGAGCUGGCUGCUGAAAUUAAUCAGAGUUUCAAUCAAACGUAAAAUAAACGCCGAGAUUUGCCUUGACA